GGGUGUGCAAGAGUGGGCGUGCAAGUGGGCGUGCAAGAGCGUGAGUGUGCGAAUGCAUGAGUGUGCAAGAGCGCGAGCGUGCAAGGGCGGGAGCGCAGGUGCGCAGGGACGUCAUCGAGGAGGACCUGGCCAUGGGGGCGGGGGGAGUGUGCAGGAUCGUGAGUGUGCAAGAGCGCGUGAGUGUGCAAGGGCGUGAGUGUGCAAGAGCACGUGAGUGUGCAAGGGGGAGUGUGCAAGAGCACGCGAGUGUGCAAGGGGGAGUGUGCGAGCACGCGAGUGUGCAAGGGGGAGUGUGCGAGAGCACGCGAGUGUGAGAGCACGUGAGUGUGCAAGGGCGUGAGUGUGCGAGAGCACGCGAGUGUGCAAGGGGGAGUGUGCGAGAGCACGCGAGUGUGC